rnacentral:rRNA from 1 species
ACCCGCUGAACUUAAGCAUAUCAAUAAGCGGAGGAAAAGAAACCAACAGGGAUUGCCUUAGUAACUGCGAGUGAAGCGGCAAAAGCUCAAAUUUGAAAUCUGGUGCCUUCGGCGCCCGAGUUGUAAUUUGGAGAGACAUCUUCGGAGUAGACGCCGUCCUAAGUUCCUUGGAACAGGACGUCACAGAGGGUGAGAAUCCCGUGCCUGGAUGGCUGUUCUACUUCAUGUGGAGUGUCUUCGACGAGUCGAGUUGUUUGGGAAUGCAGCUCAAAAUGGGAGGUAAAUUUCUUCUAAAGCUAAAUAUUGGCGAGAGACCGAUAGCGCACAAGUAGAGUGAUCGAAAGAUGAAAAGCACUUUGAAAAGAGAGUUAAAAAGUACGUGAAAUUGUUGAAAGGGAAGCGCUUGAGACCAGACUCGACCAGUGGUGAUCAGCGGUGCUUCUGUGCCGUGCACUUGCCAUUGGUUGGGCCAGCAUCGGUUUGGACGGCGGGAUAAAGACCUAAGGAAUGUGGCUCCCUCCGGGGAGUGUUAUAGCCUUGAGUGCAAUGCCGCCAGUCUGGACCGAGGACCGCGCUUCGGCUAGGAUGCUGGCGUAAUGGUCUU